GCCCUGAUAGUAUAACCCAUUACUUUGGUCUUGUAAACCAAAAAUGAAGAACCCAAAUCUUCUCAGGACA
rnacentral:tRNA from 1 species